rnacentral:rRNA from 1 species
UACGGGGGGAGCAAGCGUUGUUCGGAUUUACUGGGCGUAAAGGGCGCGUAGGCGGUCGUGACAAGUCACUUGUGAAAUCUCCGGGCUUAACUCGGAACGGUCAAGUGAAACUGUCAAGCUAGAGUGCAGAAGGGGCAAUCGGAAUUCUUGGUGUAGCGGUGAAAUGCGUAGAUAUCAAGAGGAACACCUGAGGUGAAGACGGGUUGCUGGGCUGACACUGACGCUGAGGCGCGAAAGCCAGGGGAGCAAACGGG